rnacentral:rRNA from 1 species
CAGUAGCCGCGGUAAUACGUAGGGUGCGAGCGUUAAUCGGAAUUACUGGGCGUAAAGCGUGCGUAGGCGGUUCGUUAAGUCUGUUGUGAAAGCCCCGGGCUCAACCUGGGAAUGGCAAUGGAUACUGGCGAGCUAGAGUGUGUCAGAGGAUGGUGGAAUUCCCGGUGUAGCGGUGAAAUGCGUAGAGAUCGGGAGGAACAUCAGUGGCGAAGGCGGCCAUCUGGGACAACACUGACGCUGAGGCACGAAAGCGUGGGGAGCAAACAGGAUUAGAUACCCCUGUAGUCCCUGUCUCUUAUAC